ACAUAUGCCUUGAGUUGCUCUUCAGUGAAUAUCACUUUUCCUUUCAUGUUUUUUCUACAUGCUAUUAUCUGUAUGAAAUGAAGACCAAGAAAGGAUGGGAAGAAGGAGAAGAAAAAUUUUGAUUUAUCUCAGAAACUAUACUCCGAAGUGAGAGUCCUGGUUGCAGCAUCCUUCACCGAAGCACGAAGCAGAAUCAAGCUGUUGCCAUGAAGCUUGUUUCAAGAGCUCAGAAAUACUCCAGGGACUCCUUUACUACUGCUUUUCAAAGAGGCCUUUUUUUCUCUCUUCUCCUUUUCCUGCAAAGAGGGUUAUAUCCAGUGCUCAAGGACAUGGGAUUAUCAGCCUAAGGCAUGAGUACAUGCUGUGGAAACAGAAAUAUGUAUGAAGGGAUGUAUGAAACCACAGAAUAAAUGGAAUCCACAUUCUUGAAGUAGCUACAACUCUACUUGAGGGAAAAUAAUGCUUGGCUUCAGGUAUUUGGAAAUACUGCACAUUCGGGCUAAGAAUGAGAUGACCAUUUUCUCAUUUUCAACUAAUUAUUUCAAGAUACCAAAACAAAACAAACAAAUGCCAUUGGUGAGUACCUGCUAUAUACAAAAUGAGCUGUAUGUAGUGAAGUGGCCAGGAAAGGCAGAGUUCACAGCCAUAGGUAGGGCAGGCCCUGGCCACCCUUUAGGGGAGCAAGAAAGGUAAACCAGGUGGAUGAAACAUAUCCUAUAGCAUAUUGUAAUUGGUAAGUGGAUGCAAGUGGUUUCUUAGCAAGUCAGAGGCAUCGGGCUGUCUAAAAGAGGUAAGAAGAUUAUACUGACAGAGAGGUGGAGCAAACAAUGAGGUGUCUGGGAGGAAGCAUUUGAAGAGCUGCAAGGAGGUCUGAUUUAUGGUAGAAAAACUGAGUCCCCAGGAACUGGGGAAGUGACUGGCAAGAAGAGGACAGGGCUUCUAGUCUAGAGGAAUCAAGGCAUAGGACAUAUUGCUUACCUAGAGAUUCAGUCAGGGGUAUGGGAUCCAGCCUGGGUAUAGUUUUUGGAAGGCUGCUUACUUGAUUGGGUUGGAGUGGGACUAACAGCAAGUGUGAUUUGAUGCUGACCCUUCAGUACUGGCCUGCGUAGCUUACAACAGUUACCCUGUCUAAGAAGGAGAUUGAUUCCAGAACCCAGAAUAAAGCAGAGAAUGCAGAUGGUGGUCACAUGGGUUCAGGUAAGGAGUAAGGAAAGUCACUGGCCCUUCUCCAAGUGCUGUGCAGGUGCAAAAGUUAUUUAAUUUUCUGUUUCUCUCUUGAAUGAAUAUGCUACCUAUUUGGUGGUAUAACACGUAAACUCAUUCAUAUUAAAUGUCAAUACAUGCUUUAAUGUUUUAAUCAAUAAAUGUACUAAAUAAUUUAAAUUUACAAGGGAUUUUGGAAACAGAUCCAACUUUAAGCAUGGCAGGAAAUUGAUAUUUGGACAAGGAAUGUUAGCACAUUCUUAGAUCAUACUCAGAUUUAAGGUAAGACUACUCUAUUUUUCAAACCAAUCUAGGUAUAUAAAACCAAAUCUAGUUAGAAUGAGAAUACUAAAUUAAACAUAAGUUUGUUAUUCAGAUAUUCCAUGUAGAACUGUGGGAUGAAGUGCAAUCAGCUGUGACUGGUUGGAAUAAGGACCUGCCUUAUCCCAUGGAGAGUUAGAGAAUCUGUUCCAACAAGGACAGAAGGUCCAGGUGGGAAGAGCUCUGGAAAACAAAACUCUCUGACAGCGCUCUUGAAAGCUCUGCUGGCAUCCCAAGGCACGUAGAUAGUACCUAUACAUCUCAUCAGGAACAUGGAUGGUUCUCUGCUAUCAGCUGAAGUGCUGUGACCACAAAACUGAAAAUUCCCAUUCUGUGUCCUUGCCAAUAAAGAAUGUCCAUCAGAGCACGCCCAGUAUCCUAGCUCCUUAUCCAGACUGUGCUUCUCAAUGUGACAAGGAAGACUGCAACCCUAUUUGCUUCUGAUAACCUUCCUAUGACUAAGGUGUGCUACAACAACAUGACCCCAGCAAGCAAGAUUAUUUCUGUGCACUGAUAGGAAAAGGAAGCAAGCCAUGAGUGCCUGUUGAAGCUGGAAAAGCAAGAUUGAUGUUGAGGCUUGAUUGAAGGAGUGCAAGGUCACUCACAGAAGAAGUCAUGGUGCAAGAGUACAUCUCAAUCCUGCCCUAGCCUGGAAACAGCAUGCUCUGCUGCAUUUGCAUGCCCAAGGCACUGCUUGUCCUAAGCCCCAUCCUAGAAACUCUCUAUAGCUUUAUUUCCCUUAAGAAGGUAGAAAAACAUCAACAACCUAUCCGUACUAGCUGAAUGGCCUCUAGGCCUAUUGGGCAAGUACACCCAGAUGAGCAUCACUCUUAAGUGGCUGCUUCAGGUCAAGGUCUUUUGUGUUGGGGCAGCUGCAAACUGGCCUCUUUGGCUAUCCCAAGACCCUCUAAGUCCAAGGAGCUUUCAACCUCUAGUGAUGUUCAAUCUCUGUAAAGCUGUGUAAUGGGGGAUAAACAUUAAAGUUGUUUCACAUUUAAAAAAAA
rnacentral:lncRNA from 1 species